CGCGAACGUUGGCGGCGUGCCUAACACAUGCAAGUCGUGGGGCAGCAGGCUACUACCUUCGGGUAGUAGUGCUGGCGACCGGCAAACGGGUGAGUAACACGUAGCUUACCUACCCAUAGGUUGGGGAUAACAUCCCGAAAGGGGUGCUAAUACCCAAUAAUGAGGAGGCUCCAAAGCCCUUAUGGGUGCCUAUGGAUGGGGCUGCGUCCCAUCAGCUAGUUGGUGAGGUAAUGGCUCACCAAGGCUACGACGGGUAACCGGUCUGAGAGGAUGACCGGUCACAGUGGGACUGAGACACGGCCCGCACCCCUACGGGGGGCAGCAGUGGGGAAUAUUGGGCAAUGGCCGAAAGGCUGACCCAGCAACGCCGCGUGGUGGAUGAAGCCCUUCGGGGUGUAAACACCUUUUCUGGGGGAAGAUAAUGACGGUACCCCAGGAAUAAGGGACGGCUAACUACGUGCCAGCAGCCGCGGUAAUACGUAG
rnacentral:rRNA from 1 species